UGAGAACGGCAGUUAGCUGGGAUUGGG
rnacentral:sRNA from 1 species